rnacentral:lncRNA from 1 species
GAGCACUCAAACAAUCAAAUUUUCACACGAAUUUUUCACACAUAGUAAUUCACAUACUGCAAAUACCAUAAAUAAUUUUAAAAUAUUUUUUUACUCAGAUUUGUGGUCCCAAAACCACUUUGUCCGAUUAGGGUUAAAAUCGGGUUGUUACAUAACUAGCUAACUAACUAACUAACUAACUAUUAGUUACUCUAACAAACCAAACCAAG